rnacentral:rRNA from 1 species
UACGUAGGGCGCAAGCGUUAUCCGGAAUUAUUGGGCGUAAAGAGCUCGUAGGCGGUUUGUCGCGUCUGCCGUGAAAGUCCGGGGCUCAACUCCGGAUCUGCGGUGGGUACGGGCAGACUAGAGUGAUGUAGGGGAGACUGGAAUUCCUGGUGUAGCGGUGAAAUGCGCAGAUAUCAGGAGGAACACCGGUGGCGAAGGCGGCAUCCUGGACCGACAUUGACGCUGAUGAGCGAAAGCUAGGGGAGCAAACGGG